UGGGGAAUAUUGGACAAUGGGCGCAAGCCUGAUCCAGCCAUGCCGCGUGAGUGAUGAAGGCCCUAGGGUUGUAAAGCUCUUUCACCGGUGAAGAUAAUGACGGUAACCGGAGAAGAAGCCCCGGCUAACUUCGUGCCAGCAGCCGCGGUAAUACGAAGGGGGCUAGCGUUGUUCGGAUUUACUGGGCGUAAAGCGCACGUAGGCGGACUUUUAAGUCAGGGGUGAAAUCCCGGGGCUCAACCCCGGAACUGCCUUUGAUACUGGAAGUCUGGAGUAUGGUAGAGGUGAGUGGAAUUCCGAGUGUAGAGGGGAAAUUCGUAGAUAUUCGGAGGAACACCAGUGGCGAAGGCGGCUCACUGGACCAUUACUGACGCUGAGGUGCGAAAGCGUGGGGAGCAAACAGG
rnacentral:rRNA from 1 species